rnacentral:rRNA from 1 species
CACGUAGGGACCGAGCGUUGUCCGGAUUCAUUGGGCGUAAAGAGCUCGUAGGCGGUCGGGUAAGUCGGGUGUGAAAUCUCCGGGCUCAACUCGGAGGGGCCACCCGAUACUGCACGACUCGAGUCCGGUAGGGGAGUGGGGAAUUCCUGGUGUAGCGGUGAAAUGCGCAGAUAUCAGGAGGAACACCGGUGGCGAAGGCGCCACUCUGGGCCGGUACUGACGCUGAGGAGCGAAAGCGUGGGGAGCGAACAGG